CCAUCACCCCUCUCACCACCACCCCCGGCCCCAGCGCCAGACCUCCUCCUCAGUCCGGCUGGCCCGUAGUGAGAUGCACCCCCUCCCCUCCUCCUCCAUGGUUCCCCUGGCGCUCCACCAGCACCAACGCAACCUCCACCGCUCCAAUAGGCCAGGUCAUCUGAUGCAUCACUCUCCUUCUUGGUCAAAUUGCCCUUAAACAGCCUGGAGGUGUGUUGGGUCAUUGUCCUGUUGAAAAACAAAGAAUAGUCCCACUAAGCGCAAACCUGAUGAGAUGGCGUAUCGCUGCAGAAUGCUGUGGUAGCCAUGCUGGUUAAGUGUGCCUUGAAUUCUAAAUAAAGCACUUAGUGUCACCAGCAACACACCAUCACUGUGCGAGCCACACAUGCGGAAAUCAUCCGUUCACCUGUUCUGUGUCUCACAAAGACAAUCUCAAAUUUGGACUCAUCAGACCGAAGGACAGAUUUCCACUGGUCUAAUGUCUAUUUUAUUUUUUAUUUUUUUCCUACCUUUAUUUAUCCAGGUAGGCCAGUUGAGAACAAGUUCUCAUUUACAACGGCGACCUGGCCAAGAUAAAGCAAAGCAAACGACAACACAGAGUUACACAUGGAAUAAACAAACGUACAGUCAAUAACACAAUAGAAAAAACUAUAUACAGUGUGUCCAUUGCUUGUUUCUUGGCCCAAACAAGUCUCUUCUUCUUAUUGGUGUCCUUUAGUAGUGGUUUAUUUGCAGCAAUUCGACCAUGAAGGCCGGAUUCACGCAGUCUCCUCUGAACAGUUGAUGUUGUCUGUUACUUGAACUCUGAAGCAUUUAUUUGGGCUGCAGUCUGAGGUGCAGUUAACUCUAAUGAACUUAUCCUCUACAGCAGAGGUAACUCGGGGUCUUCCUUUCCUGUGGUGGUCCUCAUGAGAGCCAGUUUCAUCAUAGCGCUUGAUGGUUUUUGCGACUGCACUUGAAGAAACUUUGAAAGUUCUUGACAUUUUCCGGAUUGACUGACCUUCAUGUCUUAAACUAAUGAUGGACUGUCAUUUCUCUUUGCUUAUUUGAGCUGUUCUUGCCAUAACAUGGACUUGGUCUUUUACCAAAUAGGGCUAUCUUCUGUAUACCACCCCUACCUAGUCACAACACAACUGAUUGGCUCAAAUGCAUUAAGAAGGAAAGAAAUUCCACAAAUUAACUUUUUAACAAGGCACACCUGUUCAUUGAAAUACAUUCCAGGUGACUACCUCAUGAAGCUGGUUGAUAGAAUGCCAAGAGUGUGCAAAGCUGUCAUCAAGGCAAAGGGUGACUACUUUGAAGAAUCUAAAAUUAUUUUGAUUUGAUUAACACAUUUUUGGUUACUACUUGAUUCCAUAUGUGUUAUUUCAUAGUUUUGAUGUCUUCACUAUUAUUCUACAAUGUAGAAAAUAAUAAAAAUAAAAACCUUGAAUGAGUAGGUGUGUCCAAACUUUUGACUGGUACUGUAUAUAUCAUAAUAUAUAGUCCUUUUUCGUUUUUACAUAAGUGGCCUGGAAAAGCACUUAGGCAGCCCGCCCAAGACUUUUCUAUGCAGAAAAAAACCCUGGCUGCUGUACUUUUUAACAGAGUAUUAGGUCUUCUGCACAGUGGCUGUUAGACUGGCUGUGGGUUAGGUUUGCCUUUGUUUUUUACAGUGUUGUAGUACUGAAAUAGGACUGCACAGGGAAAUAACCUCAAAAGCUGCUGAGUUGGUUUAGUGGUUUUCAGAAGCUUGAUUUGACAUGUUGUAUUUAUUUUAGUUUUAGUUUCGAGGAAUGCAUGUAAUAUAUAAUUUGUUUGAAAUAAUAAGUGUCGUUCCACCAAUUCGGUGCCUUUUGAGAUGGGUAUGUUUGUUGAUUUCACCUACUUUAGACAGUCAUAAAGAGCACAUGUUCAACUUUCCCAUCUCAAGGUUAAAAAAAAAAAAAAGACUAAGUGCCAAAUAAAGUAACAAGGUUGACAAGUUCAUCUUAAAUCAGCCAUAAAUCCCCUAGUGGCAGAGGAAAUGUACGCUUGUUGUGUGCAACAGGGAGGGGCAAUUGAAUGCACGCUUCACAAAAUAAUCCAAUUAUCUAGCCUGAGUUUCUGUGGUUAACAGGGUUAUGCUCGGCCUGCUCAGUUUUCCACCACAAAACACCAGAAAUGUUUUCAGAAGAACCAGCUCAACUGCUCUUACUCAAUUAUUUGGCUAGUAGAUGUCCAAUGUUUUUUAUUAUUAUUUAAAAAGGAAUAUUAUUUCAAAAGUUUCACCAUAUUAAAACGAGUUCAGUUCACAUAACCGGGUUGCGCUUAUAUGAAUGACUAAUCACAUUUUAAAUGAAUAAUAAUCAGAAAUGACUGUCAAAACAACAAAAUUACUAGGGCUUUACAAUGAUGGAGAAAUGUUAAUCUUCUUGAAGUCACAGAGACAUAUCAAAUGCAGAAUUUUGGCACUUUAGCAAGUCUUUAUUCAUAUUAAAAAAAUAUAUUUAUCGAAUUCUCCAUGUGAUCUAUAUUAAAGGGCACUUCAUUAAAUAUAACGCUUUUAAAAUUCCGUAUUGGUGCACAAUUUUGUACUUAAAAUAUCAAAAGGACGCAAAAGGCGCUUAUUUCGUGGAACGACCCAAGUAGAAUUUGAUUGUUUUAAUUUUUAUCCCUGGACAGAAUGUGAGUGUGUGUGAAUGUAUGUAGCCAUGUCUAAAUGUGUCCAUGUAACCAAUGACGACUGUCUCUCAUGGUGAGCUAAAAAGCACAUCAUUCAGCAAAUGAAAAACUGAAACAAAACAUUGCCUUCUGUUUUAGGGAAUCUGUUUUUACAGACAGUACUUUGUCGUUUUAGGAUUUGUGGUACUACACUAGUUUGCGCUUUCAUUCUGAAUGCUGUGUGGCUUUCUGUCUGCCUGUCUGACUGCAGAAAGUUUGUACUGUGCGUCUCAUCUAAUGUACUUAUUAUCCUUGAAGGAUGUUUUUGUACAUGUUAAAAAGUCUAACUGAUGCUUUUAUCCAAAGCAAUGUACUGCGCUGAUAAUACAACACCACACACUGGUCCUCGGUUGUUUUUCUGUAUCCGUGUUGGUUGAAUACAACAGAAGCACCCCAGAUAUCCUUACCUCCAUUUUGGGAGUUGUACUCACUGCCUGCCCCUAUGCAACAUAUCCCUGACACAUACAACACAUUACUAAAGAUGUGAUGAUUCAGUAGAGGCAGAAACCACAUACUGUAUGUGUUAAUAUCAUUCCAUUAACAAACCACCAUGUCUUAUUUCAUGUCUCUCCCCCAUUCUGGCAUUGGGACUGCAAUACUGGUAUUGGACAGCAGGGGGAGACACUUCAUCUUGGUAGAUCAUUACCUGUACUGUAAUGGUUUUUGCACAGACUUCCACUAUAUUGAACUGGGUGGGUGUGUGUGCGCGUGCACAUGUAUAUCACUUCACUUCUGUCCCUAUGACUGUGUCGGUUACAAAACUGGUUAAAUCCUUUCCCAGUCGUUGAUAUGUCCUGCUAAUGUCUUUUGUGGAUACUUUUCCAUCACAGAUAGACAAAUGUCCCAGUGUAGUUGUAUUGUAGGAGAGCUAAACAAAGGACAAGGUUGUAUUAGGCUAGCUUAGCAGUGCUGUCCAUUGAACAUUGGGAACUAUACGUCUUUCAGGGGUGUUUCCUCAACUGUGUUGUAAUGCUGUGAUACCACUGUAGUGAAGUGAGAGGGAAGGAAGAGUUGUUUUGUAACGGAGGUGAGAAUGUGAAAUAUGGUGCCACUUCUGAGAUGUACUUUGGUUUUUGUUCAACGUGCCUUUUUGAUGAACAAUCAUUUGGUUCCAUAAAGCAUGUUAAGGUGGUAACUUUCUCUCUAGGUCCGGGCUGGUAACAUUGUGAAUGGUAUCUUGCCACGUGCACUAUAGCUCUUUACUAUGACGGUACAAGGCAGCAUACAGGACCUGGUACUCUUAGUGUCCCUAAACUCCUUACAUUAGAUGAAAGAAAAUUGCACAUUUUUCAUUGAACUCCCUAAUGACUCUGGACUUGGGCUUUUUGAAGGAUAAUUGUUUGUGUGUGUGGGCGUGUGUGAGUAUGGUCCUGUUGUGUGAGCAAGCAUGCAUCCCUCCCUCCCUCUUCUCUUUAUAUCUAUGCAGUGACCAAGUACAUUAAAGUCCAUAUAAGUUGGAAAGACUUAAAAUGGCUAUACUACCUAUGUGUGUGUUUGGGUGGAACCUGAAUUUUCAGUCCAAUACUAUCCCUUUCAGCCUUAUAGCACUUGGCAAAAGGCAGUUCAUCUUAUUUUGUAAUAUUUUCCAAGGUGUGAAUUAAAAACCUGAUGGUUACUCAAAGAUGGAACAAUUUGUCCUUUGUUUUUUUUCCUGAACUGCAGAUUUUGUCAUUGAAUAGAAUACUAAAAUAAGAAUUGUAUAAACAUACAAUGGACAUUUCUGAAGAUUAAAACAUUUAAAGUUGCAGUUUCAUCAGCGAUUUUAAAUUAAAUGUAUUCUUCAUCCAUAUAUUUACUUUACCAUUAUGCAGCCUUGAGAUUUCACCUUCUACCUUCGUUUGACUGAAGCUAAACUGGUUCUGCAUUCUAGCUGUAACCCAGAGAGUAGAAUAGCGGAAAACCAAGGUAACAUUAUCCUUCAGCUGCAUAGAUGUCCUUCAAACAGUUAUUCUUUAUACCAGGAGACGCAUUUUGUUGUCUUUGGUCCCUUGUCCUGAUAUUUCUUCAUAUGAAAUGUGAACAGUGGGGCUAUCUUCAAUAUACAGGGUGUGUUUGUGUAGUUGUUUGUCUCUUGCAUAUACCUGUGAUGUCGCCUAAAGUUCGUUGUACAUCCUGACCAAAAGGCACUCCUACUUUUGAUAAAGGGUUUAUCAAAUUAGGUUUGGGUGUGAUGUAUUCUAUAGGUGUGCAGGUAAAGCCAUGUCCAUGCAAAUACUGGUAAAACCAGAAAAGAAGACCUGAUAUUGCAAAAUGUUUAUAUUUUGUCAUCCUUUUAUGUCAUAUACUGUAAAAAUAUAAGUACAAUUUCAAAAGGAAGGGUUAGACCAUUUAGGAUCGUUUGAGUACAUCAGUUAUGCAGUGCCUAGCAAAGUAUUCAGACCCCUUGGAUUUCUGUGUUAUAAAGUGUGAUUUAAAAUGGAUUUAGUUGUCUUUAUUGUAAAAAUCUACACAAAAUGCUCUGUUAAAGUGGAAGAAAAAUUCUAUAUUCUUUUAAAGAUGAAUACAAAAUUCAUAACUAAAAUGUAGUUGUUGCGUAAGUAUUCAGAAUCUUUGUUUAGGAAAUCCUAAAUGAUUUCAGGAGUACAAUUUGGUUUAACAAAUCACAUAAGUUAUAUGGACUC
rnacentral:lncRNA from 1 species